rnacentral:sRNA from 1 species
UUUUUUAAAACCCGCACAUAUAUCGACACAGUAUUCUGGGUGCCUAUUUGGUUGAAUGCUGGGAUAUAUGGAGGAUUAAC